GGGUGGAGAAUUGUAAUAAUAAACUGGUGGUGGAGGAGAUGGAGAUGGUGGGGGCGGAGAAUUGUAAUGAUAAACUGGUGGUGGAGGAGGUGAUGGUGAAGGGGAGGGAGGUGGGGGUGGUUCAAUGCAAGGAGGAGGUGGUGGAGGGGGUUCUAUACAAGGCAAUGGGGAAGGAGGUGGAGGAGGUGAAGAAUAUACGUAUGUUGGUGGUGGAGGAGGUGAAUUUGGUGGCGGAGGUGAUGAGUAUAUGCAUACUGGUGGAGGAGGAGGCGAAUUUGGUGGUGGAGGCGGCGAAUUUGGGGGCGGAGGUGCUGGUGAAUUGUAAUAGUAAGGUGAAGGGGGUGGAGGCGAGUGAGCAAGCGGUGGAGGUGGAGAAUUAGGAGGUGGGGAAUUUGGUGGUGGAGGUGAGCGUAUACAAUAAGGCAAUGGUGAUGGAGGAGGUGGAGAUGGUGGUGGCGAAUAAACGGGUGGGGGAGGAGGUGGAGGUGAUGGUGGAGGGGGAGAUGGUGGCGGUGGUGGUGAUGAAUAAACUGGUGGUGGAGGUGGAGAUGGCGGGGGUGGUGGUGGAGGUGAUGGUGGAGGAGGAGAUGGAGGUGGGGGUGGAGGUGAAUAGACUGGUGGUGGAGGCGGGGGAGGUGAUGGAGGAGGUGGAGAGGGUGGUGGUGGCGGUGGUGAAUAAACUGGAGGUGGAGGAGGUGGUGGGGAAGGAGAAGGAGGAGUAUAAACUGGUGGCGGAGGCGAAUAAACAGGUGGCGGAGGGGCAGGCAAGGGCGGUGAAAGUGGCGGAGGAGGUGGCAAAACAGGAACAAAUUUAUGACACCUGAAAGCACUACAAUGAAUUUUUUUAGACAAAAAGGCCUUACACUGUCCCGGAGAGCGUUGCACCGGUCUGUUGGGCAAACAAUUCCGUUCAUCAUGAAACUCCGGCAACCCCAAACACACCGGCGGUUCACCAGUGAAGAAAUUAUAAGA
rnacentral:lncRNA from 1 species